CUGUCCCAGUCUGUUUUGCUCAUUUUCAGCCUCUUUUAUUGGUAUCUAUAUGGGGCUUGUUGGCAGUGUUAGUAUAAUUGGCAGAUGGUCACUGCCUGUGAGAGGUCCUUGUUUUAUAUAAAGUUUUGGCACGAAAUCAUCUACUGAGUGUCCGCAGGAUAACAUCGUGUACACGGAUUGGCAGCGAGAAAACUACUUCAGAGCGGUGGUGGAGGAGUUGGGUGAGGAGCAGGGACCUCUGGGGGUGGAGUAUGACCACCUCACCCUUCAUGCCUCACGCACCCUCCAACACCACCUCCCUCACAGCAACAAACUGGUCGACGUCUCCAGUGGCACCAUGAAGAUGCGUAUGAUCAAGAGUCACGAGGAGAUAGCUGUUAUUAAGAACUGCGCAGCCACGUCAGACGUGGGUGGUUGGGCGUGUGCUGCAGCACUAGGAGAGGGCGUCCCUGAGUACGAAAUAGCUCUGGCAGGCACCCGCGCCAUGAUCAACAACAUCGCUAAACUCUACCCAGACAGUGAACUGAUGGACACGUGGGUGUGGU